rnacentral:rRNA from 1 species
ACGCACCAACCGCCGGGGUAUUACGAGCCCAAGCUUAAAACCCAAAGGACUUGACGGUGUCCCACCCACCUAGAGGAGCCUGUUCUAUAAUCGAUUCCCCCCGAUUCACCUCACCCCUUCUAGCCUAUCAGCCUGUAUACCUCCGUCGUAAGCUUACCAUAUGAACGAUUUAGUGAGCCAAAAGAUUUAUCAUAAAUACGUCAGGUCAAGGUGCAGCCCACGAAAUGGUAAGAAAUGGGCUACAAUUUCUAUAAUAGAACAUAACGAAAGACUACAUGCAACAAAGUCAUGAAGGCGGAUUUAGUAGUAAAAAGGAACUAGAGAGUCCAUUUUAAUUAGGCGCUGGGACGCGUACACACCGCCCGUCACCCUCA